UGAUUACCACAUAUGUAAUACAUAUAGAUUCAACAGUGCUUUCUUCCAAAAGAACAUAAAAUCUCCAUUAUCCAACUUCAAGAGGAAGUGUUUCCCAACUAGUCACUCUAGAUGAUGCCCUGCCAACUUCUGAUCUUGCCCUUAAGGAACUU